rnacentral:rRNA from 1 species
AACGAACGCUGGCGGCAGGCCUAACACAUGCAAGUCGAGCGAUCGCAGCAAUGCGGGAGCGGCAGACGGGUGAGUAACACGUGGGAACGUACCCUUCGGUUCGGAAUAACUCAGGGAAACUUGAGCUAAUACCGGAUACGUCCGAGAGGAGAAAGAUUUAUCGCCGAAGGAUCGGCCCGCGUCUGAUUAGCUAGUUGGUGAGGUAACGGCGCACCAAGGCGACGAUCAGUAGCUGGUCUGAGAGGAUGAUCAGCCACACUGGGACUGAGACACGGCCCAGACUCCUACGGGAGGCAGCAGUGGGGAAUAUUGGACAAUGGGCGCAAGCCUGAUCCAGCCAUGCCGCGUGAGUGAUGAAGGCCUUAGGGUUGUAAAGCUCUUUUACCCGGGAAGAUAAUGACGGUACCGGGAGAAUAAGCCCCGGCUAACUUCGUGCCAGCCGCCGCCGUAA